GGGGUGGCNGGCGAUACGGGCAUAACUAGAGUGCUGUAGGGGAGACUGGAAUUCCUGGUGUAGCGGUGGAAUGCGCAGAUAUCAGGAGGAACACCGAUGGCGAAGGCAGGUCUCUGGGCAGUAACUGACGCUGAGGAGCGAAAGCAUGGGGAGCGAACAGGAUUAGAUACCCUGGUAGUCCAUGCUGUAAACGGUGGGCGUUAGGUGUGGGGACCGGUUUGGUUUCUGUGCCGUAGCUAACGCAUUAAGCGCCCCGCCUGGGGAGUACGGCCGCAAGGCUAAAACUCAAAGGAAUUGACGGGGGCCCGCACAAGCGGCGGAGCAUGUGGAUUAAUUCGAUGCAACGCGAAGAACCUUACCUGGGUUUGACAUGCACCAGACGGUUGUAGAGAUACGUACCUCCCUUUGUGGUUGGUGUGCAGGUGGUGCAUGGUUGUCGUCAGCUCGUGUCGUGAGAUGUUGGGUUAAGUCCCGCAACGAGCGCAACCCUUGUCUUAUGUUGCCAGCACGUUUUGGGUGGGGACUCAUGAGAGACUGCCGGGGUUAACUCGGAGGAAGGUGGGGAUGACGUCAAAUCAUCAUGCCCUUUAUGCCCAGGGCUUCACACAUGCUACAAUGGUUAGUACAACGCGCUGCGAGCCUGUGAGGGUGAGCGAAUCGCUGAAAGCUAAUCUCAGUUCGGAUUGGGGUCUGCAACUCGACCCCAUGAAGUCGGAGUCGCUAGUAAUCGCAGAUCAGCAAUGCUGCGGUGAAUACGUUCCCGG
rnacentral:rRNA from 1 species